rnacentral:rRNA from 1 species
UGAUGGCGUAUAUUAAAUUUGUUGCAGUUAAAAAGCUCGUAGUUGAAUUUCGGGUCCCCGCGCUCGGCGCUUCAUUGUGCCGUCGUGGUGUCCCUCCUCGCCGUAAGGCGUCCUUUACUGUGAAAAAAUUAGAGUGUUCAAAGCAGGCAAUCGCUUGAAUACAUUAGCAUGGAAUAAUAAGAUAGGAUCUUGUCUAUUUUGUUGGUUGCGGACAACGAUAAUGAUUAAUAGGGAUAGUUGGGGGUGUCCGUAUUGAGCUGUCAGAGGUGAAAUUCUUGGAUUUGCUCAAGACGAACUACUGCGAAAGCAUUCACCAAGGAUGUUUUCAUUAA